rnacentral:lncRNA from 1 species
CAAGGAUUUGGGUCUCAGACUAAAGAAAACCUGCCAAUGCGAAAUGAUUCUCAUCCGCUGAAGAUUCUGGCUCCGUUGCAUGAUUCCCCAGCGUGAGCCUUGCAGAUGACAGUGUUGUGUUGCAGUGACACAAAGGUAUUGAAACUACCUCAACCCUGGGCUCGGAGCUGCAGGCUGACAGAGGGAAGCAGAGGCCUUUGCUUGGUGACUGGGAGACAUUGCAGAUGCUUCUGGCAGAUGUCUGGGCACAGAGGCUUUCAGAGAGAUGCUGGGUGCUCAGAGAGUGCUGACGCGGGGAAGCCUCUGAAGAAACCUCCUCCGGACUGGCUUCCGACCAAAGCUUCAAGACUCUCCUUCCUUCUAUCUCCAAUAUCUGCCCUUUACCACACAGAGAAUGACACUUAA